rnacentral:rRNA from 1 species
GACAGAGGUUGCAAACGUUGUUCGGAAUUACUGGGCAUAAAGCGCACGUAGGCGGUCCGUUAAGUCAUGUGUGAAAUCCCCCGGCUCAACCGGGGAAUUGCGCCUGAUACUGGCGGGCUAGAGAUCGAUAGGGGUGAGCGGAACUCCAGGUGGAGCGGUGAAAUGCGUAGAUAUCUGGAGGAACACCGGUGGCGAAAGCGGCUCACUGGAUCGAAACUGACGCUGAGGUGCGAAAGCUAGGGUAGCAAACGGG